rnacentral:lncRNA from 1 species
AAGGAUGAGUAAGUUUAUAUCAAGGGUAAAUAAUAGCAUGGUUAAUGAGUGCAGAUCCUCCAUACUGAAUAGUGACAUGACCUUAGCCAGACUUAUGACCCAUGCUCAGUAGAUAGAGGAGCAAAAGAUUAAGAUAAGGCAGAAGUAGAAUAAGAGAGCUAAGACGGGUAGUUUCAACUUCGCUUAGCCUAAUUCAGAAGGAGGAAACCAUUCUCAGUAUUAUCCUAAG